AGAAAAGCCAUGUUUUCCCUCCUCGGCAAGGCUUGGCUCCUGGUUUUUCUCCCUAUCCUGUUCCUUUCAGCUCUGGCGUCUCCAUGCUGACCACGUUGACCGUCACCAGCCAGCACCCCCUCCCCUAGGUUUCAGCGUGUGAGAGCCUGGGGGCUGGAGAGCUGGGCUGAGGCAGCCAGCACACAACGGCCAACAGCUGACCUCAGCCACUGGCGGCCAGCUAACUGCGUGCUUCUGCUCCAACAACCCACACGACCUGGUUUUACACUAGAAGAUUCUCAAGCUCAGCUCUUAUGCCUGAACUUUGGCUCACACAGCCAGUGUCAAAGUCAUCGUCAUCAUCAUCAUCAUCAUCAUCAUCAUCAUCAUCAUCAUCCACCCACACCAUUCUUCUGUUAUGAAAACAUUGUAUUUUACUAUAACUGAUCAUCUUUAUCAUCCAUGCC
rnacentral:lncRNA from 1 species